rnacentral:lncRNA from 10 species
CUGAGAGAGCAGACACCAUCUUAUUUCUGUUGAAUUGUAUUUAGUAACUCAAAAGGCAUAUACCAAGCUGUCAGAAGCAGCUUCAUUUAAAAGAAUUAAAGCAGCAGCCUUGGAUCCAGAGAUGGACGCCAAUUGAUGAAGACAGCAGAACUGACUGGCUAGUCUGGGUUCCCUGGAGCAGAGCUGUCUCUCCACCCUAGGUUAUCCACUUACUUUUGUACUGUUA